rnacentral:rRNA from 1 species
AGCGAACGCUGGCGGCGUGCCUAACACAUGCAAGUCGAACGUGAAAGGGAGCAAUCCCAAGUAAAGUGGCGUACGGGUGAGUAACACGUAGGUAAUCUACCCCAGAAUCUGGAAUAACCGGCCGAAAGGCUGGCUAAUACUGGAUAGAGCGACGGAAUCCGUAAUUGGGUUUUUCGGGAAAGGGAGCCUGUAAAAAGGCCUUCGUUCUGGGAUGAGCCUGCGUCCCAUCAGCUAGUUGGUGAGGUAAAAGCUUACCAAGGCAAUGACGGGUAGCUGGUCUGAGAGGACGAACAGCCACCCUGGAACUGAAACACGGUCCAGAAUCCUACGGGAGGCAGCAGUGGGGAAUCUUGCGCAAUGGACGAAAGUCUGACGCAGCGAAGACGCGUGAGUGAAGAAGGCCUUCGGGUUGUAAAGCUCUGUCGAGUGGGACGAAAAUGCUUGGAGUUCACAGCUCCAGGAACUGACGGUACCACUAAAGGAAGCACGGGCUAACUCCGUG